UACGGAGGGUGCAAGCGUUGUUCGGAUUCAUUGGGCGUAAAGGGUGCGUAGGUGGCGCUGUAAGUCGGGUGUGAAAUUUCGGAGCUUAACUCCGAAACUGCAUUCGAUACUGCGGUGCUUGAGGACUGGAGAGGAGACUGGAAUUCAUGGUGUAGCAGUGAAAUGCGUAGAGAUCAUGAGGAAGACCAGUGGCGAAGGCGGGUCUCUGGACAGUUCCUGACACUGAGACACGAAGGCCAGGGGAGCAAACGGG
rnacentral:rRNA from 1 species